rnacentral:tRNA from 1 species
GAUAGCUCAGCAGGUAGAGCAAUCGGCUGUUAACCGAUCGGUCGUAGGUUCGAGUCCUACUC